rnacentral:rRNA from 1 species
GACGAACGCUGGCGGCGUGCUUAACACAUGCAAGUCGAACGGAAAGGCCCUGCUUUUGUGGGGUGCUCGAGUGGCGAACGGGUGAGUAACACGUGAGUAACCUGCCCUUGACUUUGGGAUAACUUCAGGAAACUGGGGCUAAUACCGGAUAGGAGCUCCUGCUGCAUGGUGGGGGUUGGAAAGUUUCGGCGGUUGGGGAUGGACUCGCGGCUUAUCAGCUUGUUGGUGGGGUAGUGGCUUACCAAGGCUUUGACGGGUAGCCGGCCUGAGAGGGUGACCGGCCACAUUGGGACUGGGGUACGGCCCAGACUCCUUCGGGAGGCAGCAGUGGGGAAUAAUGGACAAUGGGCGGAAGCCUGAUGCAGCAACGCCGCGUGCGGGAUGACGGCCUUCGGGUUGUAAACCGCUUUCGCCUGUGACGAAGCGUGAGUGACGGUAAUGGGUAAAGAAGCACCGGCUAACUACGUG